rnacentral:rRNA from 1 species
AUGCUUAACACAUGCAAGUCGAACGGAAAGGCCCUUCGGGGUACUCGAGCGGCGAACGGGUGAGUAACACGUGAGCGAUCUGCCCUUAGCUUCGGGAUAGCUCCGGGAAACCGGAAUUAAUACCGGAUAUUACCUCGGCCGACAUCGGCCCUGGUGGAAAGAUUUAUCGGCUAAGGAUGAGCUCGCGGCCUAUCAGCUUGUUGGUGGGGUAACGGCCCACCAAGGCGACGACGGGUAGCCGGCCUGAGAGGGCGACCGGCCACACUGGGACUGAGACACGGCCCAGACUCCUACGGGAGGCAGCAGUGGGGAAUAUUGCGCAAUGGGCGAAAGCCUGACGCAGCGACGCCGCGUGCGGGAUGAAGGCCUUCGGGUUGUAAACCGCUUUCAGCAGGGACGAAGCGAAAGUGACGGUACCUGCAGAAGAAGCGCCGGCUAACUACGUGCCAGCAGCCGCGGUAACACGUAGGGCGCGAGCGUUGUCCGGAAUUAUUGGGCGUAAAGAGCUCGUAGGUGGUCCGCUACGUCUGCUGUGAAAAUCCAGGGCUUAACCCUGGACUUGCAGUGGAUACGGGCGGACUAGAGGUAGGUAGGGGAGAAUGGAAUUCCCGGUGUAGCGGUGAAAUGCGCAGAUAUCGGAAGGAACACCAGUGG